rnacentral:lncRNA from 1 species
UGGGCGCCCGCGCCCUCCCUGGCCCCGGCGCACCGGCUCCUCCUCCGGGUUUUAGAGCCUCCCUCGCCCUCGGGAGCCUCUGAGGACCCGGCUUCCCGCCACUUCGGACCUCGCGAGGAGGGGGUCACCUUUUUUAGGUUGGGGGCACCGGAGCAACCGCCCCAGAACACCCUGGAAGAGAGGGUCUUGCACCUCCGCCCGCCCCUCCGCUGUGCGCGCACACACCACACAACGCCCCGAACCAGCAUGGAAACACCACCGCCACGACACCCGGUUAAGAAGACGCCCCCCCCCCCUUUCCGCAACAUCCCCGACGGGCCGUCGAGCAAGUCCGGGCCGGGCAAGAGGCCCCGAAAACCGGGCACAGGCUUCAGAGAAACGUGUCGUGGGUUCUCGAGCCCCUCUGCCCCCGCAGGCCGUGGCCCGCAGCGCCUGAAAGCCUGCGCUUCUCGGUGUAACCCGGAGUCGUUAAUGGCAUUCAGUCGGGAUUAACUGUCACUUGGGCACUUGAAACACGCUAAACGCUAAUUUUUGGAGCACCAAGAGCCCCUGGGCUUCCUCUGCUGAGAGAGGGUGGAGAAAGCAUGGACUUGGGCUCAGUGAGGGGCUCCUGCUUCAAUAUCACGGUUCCCAACAUACCAGAGAGCUGGCUGAUUCCAUGACCAAGAAAGGAUUUCCAAUGAUCCCAGCUGGGCGAAAGAUGCGGGCGCAUGUCACUUCCCGUUUUGCUUCAAACCAAAACAGGACGGAGAUUCUAGGACCCCCUUGGGGUCGAAAUCCUAGGCCCCGAGCAAAAGCUGCCCCUCAGAGUCCACAGUUUGUCCUGAGUAACAUGGGUUUUUCUUAGAAGUAUCCCACUGCUAACGCGUGGCUCCCUCUAUUCGAAAUGUGGUCUUCUGCCAACAUCUAAGUACCUUCAGAAGUACCGCAUCUGUAGGGGCGCCUGGGUGGCUCAGUUGGUUAAGUGUGCCACUUCCGUUCAGGUCAUGAUCUCCCGGUUUGUGGGUUCAAGCCCUGCCUUGGGCUCUGCCCUCUCAGGGCAGCACCGGCUUGGGAUUCACCGUCUCCCUCCCUCUGCCCCUCCCCCCACUUGCACUCUUUCUCAAAAUAAAUAAGCAUUUAAAAAUAAUAAAAUAAAUAGA